UACGAAGGGGGCUAGCGUUGCUCGGAAUUACUGGGCGUAAAGGGCGCGUAGGCGGAUAUUUAAGUUAGAGGUGAAAGCCCAGGGCUCAACCCUGGAAUAGCCUUUAAUACUGGAUAUCUUGAGUUCGGGAGAGGUGAGUGGAACUCCGAGUGUAGAGGUGAAAUUCGUAGAUAUUCGGAAGAACACCAGUGGCGAAGGCGCUCACUGGCCCGAUACUGACGCUGAGGUCGCGAAAGCGUGGGGAGCAAACAGG
rnacentral:rRNA from 1 species